UACGAAGGGGGCUAGCGUUGUUCGGAAUUACUGGGCGUAAAGCGCACGUAGGCGGAUUGUUAAGUUAGGGGUGAAAUCCCGGGGCUCAACCCCGGAACUGCCUUUAAUACUGGCAAUCUCGAGUCCGAGAGAGGUGAGUGGAAUUCCGAGUGUAGAGGUGAAAUUCGUAGAUAUUCGGAGGAAUACCAGUGGCGAAGGCGGCUCACUGGCUCGGUACUGACGCUGAGGUGCGAAAGCGUGGGGAGCAAACAGG
rnacentral:rRNA from 1 species